GAUGAACGCUGGCGGCGUGCCUAAUACAUGCAAGUCGAGCGAACAGAUAAGGAGCUUGCUCCUUUGACGUUAGCGGCGGACGGGUGAGUAACACGUGGGUAACCUACCUAUAAGACUGGAAUAACUCCGGGAAACCGGGGCUAAUGCCGGAUAACAUUUAGAACCGCAUGGUUCUAAAGUGAAAGAUGGUUUUGCUAUCACUUAUAGAUGGACCCGCGCCGUAUUAGCUAGUUGGUAAGGUAACGGCUUACCAAGGCAACGAUACGUAGCCGACCUGAGAGGGUGAUCGGCCACACUGGAACUGAGACACGGUCCAGACUCCGACGGGAGGCAGCAGUAGGGAAUCUUCCGCAAUGGGCGAAAGCCUGACGGAGCAACGCCGCGUGAGUGAUGAAGGUCUUCGGAUCGUAAAACCCUGUUAUUAGGGAAGAACAAAUGUGUAAGUAACUGUGCACGUCUUGACGGUACCUAAUCAGAAAGCCACGGCUAACUACGUG
rnacentral:rRNA from 1 species